CACGUAGGGCGCGAGCGUUGUCCGGAAUUAUUGGGCGUAAAGAGCUCGUAGGCGGCCUGUUGCGUCCGCUGUGAAAGCCCCGGGGCUUAACCCCGGGUCGGCAGUGGAUACGGGCAGGCUAGAGGUAGGUAGGGGAGAAUGGAAUUCCCGGUGUAGCGGUGAAAUGCGCGAGAUAUCGGGAGGAACACCGGUGGCGAAGGCGGUUCU
rnacentral:rRNA from 1 species